GUAGGUGGCAAGCGUUGUCCGGAAUUAUUGGGCGUAAAGCGCGCGCAGGCGGUUCUUUAAGUCUGAUGUGAAAGCCCACGGCUCAACCGUGGAGGGUCAUUGGAAACUGGAGAACUUGAGUACAGAAGAGGAAAGCGGAAUUCCACGUGUAGCGGUGAAAUGCGUAGAGAUGUGGAGGAACACCAGUGGCGAAGGCGGCUUUCUGGUCUGUAACUGACGCUGAGGCGCGAAAGCGUGGGGAGCAAACAGGGAUUAGAUACCCUGGUAGUCCACGCCGUAAACGAUGAGUGCUAAGUGUUAGGGGGUUUCCCGCCCCUUAGUGCUGCAGCUAACGCAUUAAGCACUCCACCUGGGGAGUACGGCCGCAAGGCUG
rnacentral:rRNA from 1 species